rnacentral:rRNA from 1 species
AUGAGCACGGUGGACAAGAUGCUGAUCAAGGGAAUCCGGAGCUUCGGCUCGGAGAGCAAGAACGUCAUCACCUUCUUCAGGCCCCUCACCCUCAUCGUCGGCUCCAACGGAGCCGGCAAAACCACGAUCAUCGAGUGCCUGAAGCUGUCCUGCACCGGCGAGUUGCCCCCCAACUCCCGCUCCGGCCACACCUUCGUCCAUGACCCCAAGGUGGCAGGUGAAACCGAAACGAAAGGGCAGAUUAAGCUGCGGUUUAAGACAGCAGCAGGAAAGGAUGGGGUGUGCAUCCGCUCUUUCCAGCUUACCCAGAAGGCAUCAAAGAUGGAGUUUAAGGCAAUCGAGAGCGUCCUCCAGACCAUAAAUCCACACACGGGCGAGAAGGUUUGUCUCAGCUACAAAUGUGCUGAUAUGGAUAGGGAGAUUCCAGCCUUAAUGGGUGUUUCGAAGGCUAUAUUGGAUAAUGUUAUAUUUGUGCACCAAGACGAAUCCAAUUGGCCGUUACAGGACCCGUCAACACUUAAGAAAAAGUUUGACGACAUCUUUUCUGCUACCCGCUAUACCAAAGCUCUCGAAGUCAUAAAGAAACUUCAAAAGGACCAAGCACAGGAAAUCAAGACUUUUAGGUUAAAGCUGGAGAACCUUCAAACUCUUAAAGAUCAAGCAUACAGGCUUCGGGACAGUAUUGCGCAAGAUCAAGAGAAGUCAGAUGCCUUAAAAGCUCAAAUGGAGGACCUGAAAACAAACAUCCAGGCUGUCGAAAACAAAAUCCGUCGUACCGAAACAAGUAUCAUGGAAUUGAGGAGACUCCAGGAGCAAAUUAGCACCAAGGCAACAGCUAGAAGUACAUAUUUAACACUUCAGCAGCAACAGUAUGCUGCCCUUUCUGAGGAAAAUGAAGAUACCGACAAGGAACUGAGGGAGUGGCAAACAACAUUUGAAGAAAAAAUUGCGAUACUGGAUACGAAAAUCGGUAAACUUGAACGAGAGAUGAAUGAUGAAUAUACAAAAAUCUCUCUGCUAUCUGAGACCAUCAAUGAUUCAACACGUCAAAUAGGGAAGCUCCAGGCAGAAGCUGAUGCUCACGUGUCGGUGAAGCACGAACGAGACUCAGCCAUCAGAAAGAUAUUCAAUAAACAUAAUCUCGGGCCAAUUCCUGAUGCUCCUUUUACUAAUGAUAUUGCCGCGAACCUUACAUACAGGACUAAAGCAAGACUAUUGAAUCUCGAGGACGAUUUGCAGGAAAAGAAGAAAUCUAACGAGACACAGUUAGAGUUUCUUUGGGGACGUUAUCUCAAAGUAAAUGCUCGCUACUCUGAAGUUGAUGGCCAGAUACAAUCUAAGAAAGAAUCUAAGAUGGGUGUUUUAAGGCGCAUGAAAGAUAAAGAGACUGAACGAGAUGCUGCAGACAUGGAGCUUUCAAAGCAUAAUCUGGCCCGUAUUGAUGAAAGAGAUCGGCAUUUGCAAAUUGAGGUUGAGAAGAGGACAAUUGCCUUGGGAGAAAGAGACUACGAUUUGAUUAUAAGUCAGAAGCGCCCAGAGAUAUAUGCCUUGGACCACAAGAUAAAAACACUUCACCGGGAGAAAGAUAACAUAACUACUGAUGCUGAUGACAGAGUAAAAUUAGAACUGAAGAAGGAUGAAUUGGAAAAGUGCAAGAAGAAACUUAAAAAGAUAUAUGAUGAACAUAAGGACAAAUUUAGAAGUGUUCUUAAGGGGAGGCUUCCUUAUGAGAAGGAUGUCAAAAAGGAGAUUACUCGAGCUUUUGGGUUUGUAGACGCAGAAUACAAUGAUUUGAACUCAAAAUCUAUGGAAGCGGAACAGCAGUUGAAAUUGGCACAAAUGAAAAUUUCUGCUGCUAGAAGCAACUUGUCAAAGCUCCAAAAAGAUUUGGACGCAAAAAGAAACCAUCUGAACUCGAAACUUCAACCCAUUACUAAGGUAUCUGUUGACAUCAACACUUACCCCAAGAUUUUGAAAGAUGCCAUGGACGACAGAGAUAAACAAACAAAUACGUACAAUUAUGCAAAGGGAAUGCGGCAAAUGUAUGAACCUUUUGAAAAAGUGGCCCGCCAGCAGCACAAGUGUCCUUGCUGUGAUCGUGCCUUCACACCUGAUGAAGAGGACCUCUUUGUGAAGAAGCAAAGGACUACAGGUACAAGUACCGCAGAGCGCCUGAAUGUACUGGCAAUUGAAUUAUCGAAUGCUGAAGACUUUUUCAAUCAAUUGGAUAAUCUCCGUGUGGUUUAUGAUGAAUAUGUGAAACUGGGGAAAGAGACCAUACCUUUAGCAGAGAAGGAUUUGGAACAACUUUUGGCAGAUGAAAGUGAGAAGGCGCAGAUAUUCGAAGACCUUGUGAGUGCUCUUGCUCAAGUUAAAAUGGACAGGGAUGGAGUCGAAGUCUUGUUACAUCCAGUUGAUACUAUCAACAGGCAUGUGCAAGAAAUACAUGAGUUAGAACCACAAGUCAAAGAUCUUGAAUAUAAGCUUGAUUCUCGUGGCCAAGGUGUUAAAUCUGUCGAGGACAUCCAGUUGGAGCUGAACUCUGUGCAGAGGGCAAGGGACACAUUGAUUAGUGAAGUGGACGAUCUCAGGGAUCAGCAAAAAAUACUUAGCGAGGAUCUGUCAAAUGCUCAGAUGCGGUGGCAUGCUCUUAGGGAAGAAAAACUAAGAGCCUCAAGUGUAUUGCUGAAGUUCAAAAAGGCUGAAGAAGAUUUGGUACUUUUUGCCGAGGAAAAAGAGCAACUGAUCAUAGAUCAGAAGCAUUUAGAAGAGGCUCUUGUUCCAUUGUCAAAAGAGAGAGAAAGCUUGUUGCAAGAGCAUAAAGCUUUGAAGGAAAGGCUUGAUCAGGAGUAUGAUCAGCUAGCUGAAAGAAAAAGGGGAUUCCAGCAAGAAAUCGAUGCACUUGGAACCCUUAACACACGCAUCAAAGAGUACCUGGAUGCAAAGAAAGUAGAGAAGCUUAAUGAACUGCAGGAAAGGCAUACCCUAUCCCUGUCUCAGUUACAGAAAUGUGAGGCAAGAAAGCAAGACAUCUCGGUUGAGCUUGACAAGAGCAAACAGCUAUUGCGCAGCCAAGAUCAAUUGAAAAGAAACAUUGAUGACAAUCUGAACUACAGGAAAACAAAGGCUGAAGUGGAUCGACUUGCUCAUGAUAUCGAGUUACUUGAAGAAAACUACAAUAGGUGUGAAGGAACAAUUUCUGUUUACCAAAGUAAUAUUUCAAAGCACAAACUUGAGCUUAAACAGACACAAUACAAGGAUAUUGAGAAGAGAUAUUUUAACCAACUUCUCCAACUUAAGACAACUGAGAUGGCAAAUAAGGACUUGGAGCGAUACUAUGCUGCUUUGGAUAAGGCUCUUAUGCGGUUCCAUACCAUGAAAAUGGAAGAGAUAAAUAAAAUAAUAAAGGAAUUGUGGCAGCACACAUACAGAGGCCAAGAUAUUGAUUGCAUAAGCAUCAGUUCUGACUCCGAGGGUGCAGGCACUCGAUCAUAUAGCUAUCGUGUUGUCAUGCAAAAUGGUGGUGCUGAACUGGAAAUGCGAGGGCGAUGCAGUGCUGGCCAGAAGGUUCUUGCUUCUCUUAUAAUCAGACUGGCACUGGCAGAGACAUUCUGUCUGAAUUGCGGCAUAUUAGCUCUGGAUGAGCCAACCACCAAUCUUGACGGGCCGAAUGCGGAGAGCCUAGCUGCUGCCCUAUUGAGAGUAAUGGAAAGCAGAAAAGGCCAGGAGAACUUCCAGCUGAUUGUAAUCACCCAUGAUGAGCGGUUUGCUCAGCUUAUUGGUCAGAGGCAGCUUGCCGAGAAGUACUACCGAGUUUCCAAGGAUGAGCAACAACACAGCAAAAUUGAAGCCCAGGAGAUAUUUGACUGA